rnacentral:rRNA from 1 species
AUUGAACGCUGGCGGCAGGCCUAACACAUGCAAGUCGAGCGGAGCGGCGGACGGGUGAGUAAUGCCUGGGAAUCUGCCUGUUAGUGGGCGAUAGCGUCCGGAAACGGGCGAUAAUACCGCAUACUAUCAGAUGAGCCUAGGUCGUAUUAGCUGGUGGGUGGGGAAAAGGCCUACCAAGGCGACGAUCCGUAACUGGUCUGAGAGGAUGAUCAGCCACACUGGAACUGAGAAACGGUCCAGACUCCUACGGGAGGCAGCAGUGGGGAAUAUUGGACAAUGGGCGAAAGCCUGAUCAAGCCAUGCCGCGUGUAUGAAGAAGGCCUUAGGGUUGUAAAGUACUUUCAGCGGGGAGGCGUUACCCGCAGAAGAAGCACCGGCUAACGCCGUGCCAGCAGCCGCGGUAAUAC